GUCAUAGCUCAGUGGUAGAGCUUCUGUACUGCAUGCAGAAGGUCUCUGGUUCAGUCCUUGGCAUCUCCA